GCCCUGCUAGCUCAGUGGUAGAGCGUCGCACUCGUACAUGUUCGAUGCGAAGGUCAGUCGUUCAAGUCGGCUGUGGGGCA
rnacentral:tRNA from 1 species